rnacentral:rRNA from 1 species
GACGAACGCUGGCGGCGUGCUUAACACAUGCAAGUCGAACGGCAAGGCCCUGCUUUUGUGGGGUGCUCGAGUGGCGAACGGGUGAGUAACACGUGAGUAACCUGCCCUUGACUUUGGGAUAACUUCAGGAAACUGGGGCUAAUACCGGAUAGGAGCUCCUGCUGCAUGGUGGGGGUUGGAAAGUUUCGGCGGUUGGGGAUGGACUCGCGGCUUAUCAGCUUGUUGGUGGGGUAGGGGCUUACCAAGGCUUUGGCGGGUAGCACGCCUGAGAGGGUGACCGGGCACAUUGGGACUGAGGUACGGCGCAGACGCCUACGGGAGGCAGCAGUGGGGAAUAUUGCACAAUGGGCGGAAGCCUGAGACAGCAACGCCGCGUGCGGGAUGACGGCCUGCGGGUUGUAAACCGCAUUCGCCUGUGACGAAGCGGGAGUGACGGUAAUGGGAAAAGAAGCACCGGCUAACUACGUG